rnacentral:tRNA from 1 species
GGAGAGGUGCCGGAGUCCGGUCGAACGGGCCUCCCUGCUAAGGAGGUGACUUGCGCAAGUGAGUCCGUGGGUUCGAAUCCCACCCUCUCCG